rnacentral:rRNA from 1 species
UUCUGGCUCAGGAUGAACGGCUGGCGGCGUGCCUAACACAUGCAAGUCGAGCGAUUACUUCGGUAAAGAGCGGCGGACGAGUGAGUAACGCGUGGGUAACCUGCCUCGAUACACAUGGAUAACAUACCGAAAGGUAUGCUAAUACAAGGAUAAUAUAAGAGAUUCACAUGGAUUUCUUAUCAAAGCUCCGGCGGUAUGAGAUGGACCCGCGUCUGGAUUAGCUAGUUGGUAAGGUAAUGGCUUACCAAGGCGACGAUCAGUAGCCGACCUGAGAGGGUGAUCGGCCACAUUGGAACUGAGACACGGUCCAAACUCCUACGGGAGGCAGCAGCGGGGAAUAUUGCACAAUGGGCGAAAGCCUGAUGCAAGCAACGCCGCGUGAGUGAUGAAGGCCUUCGGGUCGUAAAACUCUGUCCUCAAGGAAGAUAAUGACGGUACUUGAGGAGGAAGCCCCGGCUAACUACGUGCCAGCAGCAGC